AAGCCUAUCUGCACAGAGAGGACACUUUGCAUAGGCAGCACAUGCUUCAGUGGUCUGGGAGUGUUUAUAGUCCUGUGAGUUUAACACCUCAUGACUGAGAGCUGUCCUUCAUGACAACAGAACCCACAACAACCAUGACUCUGAUCACCAUCUUCAUCUGGACUCUAGCUGUCUACGUACAGGAGUCCAGAGGACAGAUCACUGUCACUCAGACUCCUGCAGUGAAAGCUGUUCUCCCAGAACAGACAGUCUCUCUGCAGUGUAAAACCAGCAGUGAUGUGUAUGGAAAUUGUCACAAUGGUCAAUCAUGGGGUCACCAGUGUCUAGCGUGGUACCUCCAGAAACCUGGAGAACAACCCAGUCUCCUGAUCCACACUGUUAAAACGCUCCACACUGGGACUGCAUCUAGAUUCAGUGGCAGUGGAUCUGGAAGUGACUUCACUCUGACCAUCAGUGGAGUCCAGGCUGGAGAUGCAGGAGAUUACUACUGUCAGAGUUUCCACUACCCUAACAGUGUCUGGGUGUUCACACAGUGAUAUAGAGCCGUACAGAAACCUCCCUCAGUCAGACUGCACAGUGACUGCACUGCUACAGCUGAGACCUACUGCAGGUGCUGAGAGGGAGGAGAAAGUGACAUGGAACACUGACUGGCCUUUGUCACACUGAGCUGAAUAUAUCAGUGGUGUUCAUUGUAAUAUUUGUGUAAAUAACCAGGCAGGAGAUGGGAGUACAGUUUGUGCUGUUUAGUCAAACCACAAAACCCCGUGAACACUACAACCCCGCAAAUAGUGCGCAGGUGCAUUUCCUAUUAGAUAUCGUAACAUAACAGUGCCGUAAUACAUUACUGCUUGGCAACAGCAUAGUAACCAAAAUAAUGUAUGUCAAACAACCCACCCUCAUGUCAAAGCAGUCCUGAAAAUGUUUAGGCUCAUGACGUUUAGAUAUUAAAUCACUUAUAGAAGUACAAAACAUAACUUUUAUAUAUAUUUGUAUGAAACAUGUCUUCACUGACUCUCUUAAUCAAACUAAAUGUUCAUCAGAGACUAUUAUAUAGAGGGGUGCACAUAAGUGGUAUGCGGGUACGCAUGCGCGACAAAAAUCAGGAAUGCGUAAUGCCACUUGUAUUACUAUGCGCCUUUGCGUACUUGACUGAUAUCAUCUAACCUUACAACAUGACAUGUUGGUUGUCAACUAUUGUCAGAGAUGUCCAAAAAGCAACAGACAUUCAGCAGCUUCCUUGGCGUUUCGCAAUCUACAAAGAAACGCCAAAAGGAGCCACAGCCGAAAAAUAUAUUUCUUUCGGAAGUGGCUCCAAGAUGUGCAGUGGCUUGAAGCUAACGAUGAGCGCACUGAAAUGUGGUGCAACAUUUCUGCUGCUCAAAUCCAUAUCUACCAGACCAAACAGUUAAAUUUGAUAAAGGCUCAAAUAAUUUUAACCAUCCUUUAUUUGACACACAUGAAAAUAGUAAGGAGCACACGAAUGUGGCGCAAGCCAUCGCUAAUAAACAAGCUAGCCAAGAAGAAAUGUCCAGUCGUCCACUUGCCAGAUGGCAAAAAAAGCUCUGUUUAAUAUUUUUCUCCUCGCCUUCCUUAAACCUAAACACGCACAUCCCAUGUCUUCCUAUUCUGAAUAUAUUCCUUUACUGAAGCGGCUAGGAGUAAAUGUCGGAGGUGCAUAUGUCAAGUGUACUGUAAUGUUUUAGUGUAAAUGCCAUGUGUAUUAUGUGCUGGACUUAAGUGUUGAAUGUGUCUGUAUUGGGGGCGUUGCUAUGGCCUACAAAGGCUGCUGAAAAGCUAAUUGCCAAUUACCGGGCAAUUGUCUAAUUGCCAAAUACCGGGCAAUUAGCUUGAUGGGAAGGGAGUGGUGUAGUGUGUGGGGAUAGGUCCGUUCCCUGUAUAAGAGAGGACAGUGGAUGAACGGGGGGCAGGAGAUUGACACGACGGAUGGGAGCGCUAGCAAUUUGACAGCUCUGGCGACAAGGGAUUGAGAAGGGACCCUGGAGAGGCUCCGGACGUGGUGCCUGGUCUGGCGUCGAGGCUGACGGUCAAUCUGCUCUACGUUCGCCUUGCGAAGGGAAGUCCAUUACUCCACCUCACUGUGCUUCUGUCCCACUAGCUCGGUCUGUUGAAGGGUGUGAGGUUGCCUAAGUGGUCUGUCCUGCACUUCCGUUCUCUGCAGCUUGGGGGAGUCCUCGAGGUGGGCGGAGCGGCGCGUCACCAGGGCCAUUACGGAGGCUUUCGCAACGGAAAGCGGUGCGCAGAUCAGGGUCAGCGCUGGAGCGGGCGAAGGCGUGUGUCGGCCGUACUGGACAGUGACAGCACGCUUCACCGGCGGUAUCCAGCACAAGGCUGCUGCAUAAACUGCCUGUUUCAUUGUUUUUAAUACUGGUCGGUGGGGGACCGACCGACCAAUACCAAUUUAUAAUUGUCAGUACUGCAGGCCUCCCUGGGAAAGUCUAUUCAGGGGUCCUGGAGAGGAGGGUCCGUCGGAUUGUCGAA